rnacentral:rRNA from 1 species
GACGAACGCUGGCGGCGUGCCUAAUACAUGCAAGUCGAACGAGAGCGACCGGUGCUUGCACUGGUCAAUCUAGUGGCGAACGGGUGAGUAACACGUGGGUAACCUGCCCAUCAGAGGGGGAUAACAUCCGGAAACGGAUGCUAAAACCGCAUAGGUCUUCGAACCGCAUGGUUUGAAGAGGAAAAGAGGCGCAAGCUUCUGCUGAUGGGUGGACCCGCGGUGCAUUAGCUAGUUGGUGAGGUAACGGCUCACCAAGGCCGUGAUGCAUAGCCGACCUGAGAGGGUGAUCGGCCACAUUGGGACUGAGACACGGCCCAAACUCCUACGGGAGGCAGCAGUAGGGAAUCUUCCGCAAUGGGCGCAAGUCUGACGGAGCAACGCCGCGUGAGUGAAGAAGGUUUUCGGAUCGUAAAACUCUGUUGUUAGAGAAGAACAAGUGCUAGAGUAACUGUUAGCGCCUUGACGGUAUCUAACCAGAAAGCCACGGCUAACUACGUG